UACGGAGGAUCCAAGCGUUAUCCGGAUUUAUUGGGUUUAAAGGGUGCGUAGGCGGGCUAUUAAGUCAGUGGUGAAAGCCCCAAGCUUAACUUGGGAACUGCCAUUGAUACUGAUGGUCUUGAGUACAUUUGAGGUGGGCGGAAUGUGUCAUGUAGCGGUGAAAUGCUUAGAUAUGACACAGAACACCGAUUGCGAAGGCAGCUCACUAAACUGUAACUGACGCUGAGGCACGAAAGCGUGGGGAGCAAACAGG
rnacentral:rRNA from 1 species